rnacentral:lncRNA from 1 species
CACGGAGAAUAAAAUGGAAUAAAGGAAAGAAUAGAAGUCCUUACUCAUAAGAUCCUGGUGAUUCUGCUCCCAAGAACUUUAUAAUGAGGAAGGAAUGAGAAGAAAUUGAAUAUUUGUGGUGCCCAGAGACCCUCUUCCCUAGCUCCAUGAAAGACAGCAGAGUUUGUCACACUGAAAGGUCCCUGCUUGCAGUGUUCUCUCGCUUCUCUCACACCCUGUUAUCCUGGAGUAGCCCAGCUGCUGAGGACAGGAAUUGGUGUGUAUCACAACAGUAUUACAUGAGGAAGUUACUAUGUCUCUUCAGCAGCUUUUAUGGAGAUGGGAACUUUUCCUUCAGAACACGGCAUCAGCAGUUUUGA